CUCGACAACGGAUAUCUCAGCUCUCGCAUUGAUGAAGAACCGUAGUACAAUGCGAUACUUUGUGUGAAUUGCAAAAUCCCGUGAACCAUGGAGCUUUUGAAUGCAAGUUGUGCCCCGAAGCCUUUUGCCGAAAGCACGUUUUUAUGGGUGGCACG
rnacentral:rRNA from 1 species